GUAUUAAACUGUGGGCAAAUCACAUUAAUAUCAUAUACUACCAUCAAUAGUUGUAGAAGUACAAAUACAUAAGAGAAUUUUUCCCAAUGUGCUACGAAACACUGAGAGUAUCAAAACAGCAUCAGUUAGCUAUCUAAAACAAUUACACACCUACUCUGAAAUCAAAAUGAACAGCGUUUUUGCCUCUUUAUUCACCCAGGACGCCUAGCUCACUAUCACAUGCUCUUCUAGUGUGGUCUUUGACAGAUGUAUGACCAACUGCAGAAAAUAACUUGUAGCAAGAACAGUACGCUUGUUCCGCUAUUUCUGUACUGCAACUCAAACUGAAGCCAAUUUCCUAUACCACCAACAAACCAAAAUACUAAUAAUUCCAUUUCGUUGGAAGGUAGCAACCAGUUUCGUAGUCAUGCAUCCAUCCAUCCUCCUCUUCUUCUUCUUCUUCUUCUUCCUCCUCUGCUUGCUGAAGCAAGUAUUUCUCUAACAUUUGAUGUACAUUAUCCUCUCCCAAUUUAAUACUAAAAUCAUCCCCAAUGUCUAUCGUAAGCAAACAACGACAUUCCCUCACAAUCAAAUAUAAAUCUUCUCUAGAAAAUAUAAUACCUCGCAGGACGAUAUUACGUACUUGUUGCAGGUUUUUAGCAAUUAGACUUGCACAGCUCUCGACUUGAACUUUUCGGGUUAAUUUUUCAGUUUCAGAGCAGUAGAGUUUAAAUGUAUCCAAAGGCAAUGUGCCCACUACUUGAAGUAACUCUUCUGUCUCUUCACCUUCACACAUUAAGCAAGGACACACAUGUAGUUCUUUUAGAACUGGACAAUUGUACAGUAAAGUAAUCAGCCCAUCUACUGUUACUUUGAGUAAGGCACCCUUAAAACUUUGAGUAAGAAAAAAAAUUUCAGAUCGUUCAGAAACAAAUCAUUGGAUGCAACAUUGUCACAAAACCUACAAGAUCUUUUAACUAUACUUCGAAAAGAGAAAAAACAAUGGAUGAUGAUGAUGAUGAUGAUAACAACUACACUUCGAAAAGACUUAACCAACUCACACUACUGGAUAGUAUAACUAUUACUUUCUCUUGGGAAUUUCAUCAAACAAGUAAAGAUGGAGAAGAGAAGUGAAAGAAACCUAACAAGAUCUUUUAAAGUUUUAAUAGGCAAAGUUUACAUCUGAUCACUCAUCAAGUUAUUGGUUCUUGAUUUUCAACGGUCACAUAACAUGCGUUUAUCACGUGAGUAAACUAUGGCGGCAAAGUGACUCUGCUGAUGAUCAUCUGCUCCCCGAUUUACUAAACAACAUUUAGCUCUAGGGCAAAACAGUAAAUACAUUACGUCACCUCAACCUAAAGCCAUCAGGUGACACGUGUUAUAUACACAAAUGUUAGUCUAGAAAGCAGCGCCAAUAGGUCGUGUGAUCGUGUGUCGUGCCAUAACGGGUUUUAAGUCCAAACCCAAACCGGACUUGUUUAUUAAUUCGGUUAUUUUAAACAUAGUUGAAAACGUUGAUUUGAAAAAAAUGGAUAUAUCCAAAAUUUUGACACUAGAAAACUAAUUAUAUGUUAUAAUUUAUGGAAUAUUCAUGAAUAUUCUAAUAUCCGAUUUCUAGGAAGACAGAUAUAUUCAUCGAAUAUUCACAAACUUUUGCGAUUUUUUCGCCUAUAAUUUUAACUAAACCUGGCUUACCAAUAACAAAACGGGUCAACUUAUUAUAACCCAUUUAAAUUUAACUUGUGUAUAAACAUCGAGAAAUAUUUAAAUUAAAAACAAUAUAAAUAAAAACACCACAAAAAUGUGUUAUUAUAUUUCAUAUCUACAAUGUUUUUGUUGGAAUUAUUUCUAAGAUUUGUAAAAAAAAAUAGAGCUAUUUAGAGAUACCCUCAGAAAAAUUGUACUCUUUGAGAUACCCCCCAGAUUUAAAAAUCAUUAGAGAUACCCCCAGAUUUUCAUUUCAAGCCGGUCAACUGAGCCAUUGACCUAUGUUUGACCCAUCUUUAUGUUCUUUAGACCAAAAUACCCUUCUUUUAUUUGAACCUUAAUCCUAGUCAUCUACUUGUAUGCCAUGUCGGCAAAACCUUUAACAUAAACAAAUUUUACUCACACCCAACAUCCAUACCCCAUUAAUCCAAGAACUUUAAUAGUGGAGAAAUUAGUGGACUUAAUAGUGGUGGUGGAGAAAUUGGUGGUUUUUGUAGUUGUGUUGGGUGAUUUACGAGUACAAAAGAAGAGAAAAAAAUUGUUUGUGUGAGAAAAAAAGGAGAAAGAAGAUUUAGUAGUGGUGGUGGAGGUAUUAGUGGUUGUGGGGUGAUUUAUGAGAAUAAGAGAGAGAAGAUUUUUUUGUGUGAGAAAAAGAUUAGAGAGAAUAUUUAGUAUUGGGGGUGGAGAAAUUAUGGUACACAUUUUUAUCAUCAGACCAAUUGUACACCAGAAUAUCAGCAUGAUGUAAUGUUGAUUUAAUAACUUAGGAUCAAUAUGUAUUCACUAUUGUGUCAUAUAUUUUUCGAAUUCCAAUAAAACAAACCCUUUAAAAAUGUUUUUAUUCUUUUAAUAGAAAAUAUAUAUUUUUUUUUUAUUAUAUUAAAUUUAUCCCUUUUUCAUGCACUCAAUUUUGAGAUUUCUUUCAAAUUUUUUUCCCACCCAUAUUAUUGAUCAGGGAAAUUGAGAUAGAAUUAGUUCGGUCACAUUUAGAUGUGACAGUUUGAACCCGAACCUGCCAAAGUUUGGGUUAAUAUAAAUGAGUUUAAGACAAAGCUGGGCAAAUUAACACUAAAAUCGAUAAACCAAACCGAACACAAUCGAACCGAAUAUGUUGGAAGGUGUUACAAUGUUUAAGUGUUUGGUUUUGGUUGGAUUUUUUUCCAAAACAAAAAUAAUAUAUUUGGCUUCGGUUCCAAAAUUCCUAAACACGUUAGAAUUGUUGGGUUUGGGUUUGAAAAACCAACUUACUAAUGCUAACCCAUUAGUAUAACCUGUUUAUAUUAAUUAAUCAUAUUCAAAAUAUAAUUUAUAAACUCCAUACAAUUAAUUUAAUAUUAAAAUAAAAUAUUAUACAAAUAACUAUUUCGUGUAUAUAUUCAAUCAUACAUAUUACCUUGUUUUUCUUAUUUUUUUAGCUAUUUAGAGAUACCCCCGGAAAAGUUUGCACUCUUUGAGAUACCCCCCAGAUUUUCAUUUUAAGUCGGUCAACUUUUAUAUUAACAAAAAUACCCUUCUCAAUUGAAGUUAUAUCCUAGUCAUCCAACCCAAUUACGAUGUAUGCCAUAUCAUGUAAACUUAGAUCUAAUCCUAACUAUUCAAUAAGAUAAAACCCUCAAAUCUAAUCCUAUGGUUAGAAACCAAUUUUUUUUUCUCCAACUCUUCUUCCUUCUUCUCAACCACCAAUUCCGAAUACAUGAAGAACUACCAUGUGUCACUAGACUUGCGCUUCAUCUGAAAGGUAUGCAUGUGUGUGUCUUCAAUCCUAACGACACGCCAGAACAAGUAAAGGAAAAGGCUAAAAAUCAGAAAUCAUCUUUGACUGCAUAUUUCGAUUGGUAUAGAUAAAAUCCUACUACUAAAGCUUAUACUUACCAACAAUUUCCUGAACAUUUUAGAUGGUGCAAGGAUAACAAGAAAUGGACACCAAGAGUUACUUCAGCCUUUUCUAUUGGUCGGAUGUAUUUUACCAAUCCAAAUUCUGGUGAAAGAUUUUACCUUAGGUUACUAUUAACCGUUGUGAAAGGACCAUCGUCAUUUGAAUCCUUAUAUAGUGUGGAUGGCAUCGAACAUAAGACAUACAGAGAAGCAUGCAUUGCUCGUGGUCUUCUAGAAGAUGACAAUGAAUGGGACAAAUGCCUAGAAGAAGCUGUAAUAAUGAAAACUAGUCAUCAGGUACUUGCAAUUUAUGUUUAAAUUCUUUUUAUAUGUCUAAAUAUUAAAACUGUUUUAUCUAAAUAUGGAAACUGUUUACUGUUGCAUCUAUAGCUAUAAACACUGUUGCAUCUAUAGCUACAGUGUAGCAUCUGGACAUGUUUUCCAAGUGCACCGAGCUACUUUAAGAUCUCGAUACCCAGACAGACAACUCAAUCCCAUUGUUGUUGUUGUUAAAGUUACGCAUCCUGGUAUCAAGGAUUCAAUUAAGAGGGAUUUUAUUAUUAUCGAGUCCUUUGCCAACACACACCAUAACAGUCCCUAAUAAUUUACCCUUCCACCUGCUGCACUAUAGCCUUCAGUUUCAUUGAAUAAUAUACUUACUGAUGUAUUCCCUUGCUGUUUUACUUUGCAGAAAAUAAUUAUUAAAUUCCAUAUAUUUUGUUUAUUGAAAAUCCGCCACUAAUUCAUAGUUUUUAUAUGGUAAACAGGUACGGAGAUUAUUCUGUUUGAUCCUAACUGAAUGUAAUCCUUCUCGACCAGAAAUUCUAUGAGAGAAAAAUGCUUUAAAAAUAUGUGACGACUUGUCGUACCAACUGAAAACAAAAUUUGGCAUUCAAGAUCCCAGUGAUAGUGAUGUUUGUGACUAUGGGUUGUUCUUAAUGAACGACUACUUGCUGGAGAGUGGUAAGACAUUAUCAGAUUUUCCAAACAUGCCUUUACCGUGUAAAACAUGGAAUGAAGUAGUUACCAACCGUCUCAUUACAGAGCAUCAGAAUUUCGUGUAUCAGGGAUUAUAUGAAAAGGCUCAAGAAAAAGUUGCAAGAUUUAAUACUGAACAACUAAAUGCCUAUACAGAGAUUACAAAUUCUGUUCGUAAUGAUAGUGGACAAGUAUUUUUCCUAAGUGGUCUGGCUGGAACAGGAAAAACGUUCGUCUAUAAUAUUGUAGCAGAUACAUUGAGAAGUGAAGGUCAUAUUGUGAUAAUGGUUGCUUCAUCAGGAAUUGCAUCUUUAUUAUUGACAGGAGGAAGAACAGCUCAUUCUACAUUCAAAAUUUCAUUUGAAGUUCUAGACGACUUUGUUUGUUCAGUCACAAAGCAAACAAUCCAUGCAGAAUUAUUCAAGAGAGCGAAACUGAUUAUAUGGGAUGAAAUACCAAUGCAACAUAGGUUCUGCGUGGAGGCUGUUGAUCGUACACUAAGGGAUAUUCGUGAAAUUAAAGAACCGUUUGGAGGAGUUACAGUUGUUCUGGGCGGUGACUUCAAACAGACUCUCCCAUUCAUUACUAAAGGAACUAGACAAGAAAUUGUUCGUGCAUGUCUAACAAAAUCACAUUUGUGGAGUGGUGUUAGACUCUUAACUUUGGUUAAAAAUAUGCGACUGAACAGUAAUGAUACUGAAAAUGUCAAGUUCGCAGAUUAUUUGAUUGAGGUAAUUUUUAAAUUUCAACAAUAUUUGUUAUUUUCAUAUCUAGGUAAUUUUUAAAUUUCAACAAUAGUUCUUAUGUUUAUAUCUGCGUUUAAACCUUUGUUUAUUAUACCCUUAAUAUUAUAAUUUACAGAUAGGAACAAAUCCUAAAGAAGAUGUGGAAUUGCCUUCAGAGAUCAAAAGGUGUAAGAGUACCAUGGAUCUUUUGUUUAAAGUUUACCCCAAUCUGAAUGUGGAAGAGGUAGCUACCGAGACCUACUUGCAAGAACGAUCUAUUCUCUCUGCUCACAAUGAUGAUGUAGCUACUCUUAAUGAAUUAGCAAUAAAUCAUUUUCCCGCUGAAUUACAUGAGUACCUAGCUGCUGAUAAAACCAUUGAAGAUGAUCAACCAAUCGAGAAUAGGGGAAACAGUAUAUCAAACAAGAAUAUGCAAGCACUGGAUCCACCGAGUCUUCCACCAUUCAAACUCCAACUUAAAGUUGGUUGUCCAAUAAUGUUGCUACGGAACCUUCAACCGAGAGAUGGUUUAUGUAAUGGAACGCGUCUAAUGGUUGUCCAGUUUGCUACAAGAGUUAUAGAAGCAAAGAUACUUAAUGGUAGCCAUGCUGGAAAUUAUGUAUUCAUACCACGUAUAACUCUUCAACCAUCUGUUUCAGAAACGCCUUUCCAAAUGGCACGACGACAAUUCCCAGUUCGAUUGGCAUUUGCAAUGACUAUUAAUAAGUCACAAGGACAAUCAGUUAAGUAUGUGGCUUGCAAAACCAUGUCUUCAGUCAUGGCCAAUUAUAUGUGGCAUUAUCAAGGUGUACUUCUUCCAAUCGAAUAUCUGUUCUCCUAGGGAAUGAAGAUGAUGACAAAACAACCAAUGUUGUUUAUCCUGAAGUUCUUCUCUAAUUGAUUACAGGUAUGACCAGAUUACUCAUUCGUAAAGUACUAUUUUCCUCAAUUUUAUUACGUAUUCUAUCUCUCAUUUCUAUUUAAAUCUUUCUCCAGUUUCUGGUUUGAUAACUUUAGAAUUUAGAUUUUACAAUGGCAUUAAAUGCUUGGUAACAGUGAGACCAUUUUGCAAACGUUUCGAAAGAUUUGGGACCAAAUUGGCCAAUUUAAACUUUGGGGACUCAACUGAAAAUUUGGACAAAGUUAGGGGACCAAAAUAGCUAAUUUAUCGUUUUCAGUUGGAUUCUCAUUGUAUCAUCAUGAUUGUCCACUCUGGUAUGAUUAAUUGUUGUGACACACUAUUGGACUCCCAGACAAAUAUUGAAUUUUAAAUUCAAAAACUAUACUUUGGAGGUGCCCCAACAUUAAACAAUCUGUAACGUGUUAUGUGCUUGGGUUUGAAUUUUAUUUAGCACAUACCCAAACCUCAGUUUAAACUCCUUCAAUUAUGUUGUUGACUGAAUUAUUUGCAUUUUGCCUUUUAUUUUUUCAGUUGCAAAUUAUUCUAACUUUCCAGAUUGUGGCAAAGAUCAUCAAACAGUAGACUACAGAAGAGACUCAACAUCAAGAAUGAUUUCAGUCCAGAGCAAGAAAAGGUUAGGAAGGACAACCGGUGGGCCUUUGAAUGAAGGACCGAGAUAGAGUGUAAUUUGAGUGGACGGGAUCAUCAUUUUAUUUCCAUUGAAAAUAGUUACUUUUGUCUAGAGUUUUGGGCUAUUUGAUAUAUACUGGUUAGGGAAGAACUUUUAAUACUCUGCCAUUUGGUAAAUAUCUAAUACUAAUUUUAUUUAGUUUAUAUUAAUUGAUAUUGAUGUGAUAUGAUUCUGAUAUCAACUACCUAAUGAUAACUGCCCCUAUUUUGUUCAUACUUUUGUAAUGUCUGUUGGUGUUAGUGCAGUUAAUAACUCCACAAGGGAUGUUUGUUAUAUGUUUGUUCCAUAUGUCCCUGAGGAAGUAUUUAUUUUGGUUUUGAAUAUAUAUGUUUAGUUUUAGUCAUUCCGAAUUUGGAUGUUGGUCUUCAGUUUUGUUCUCUGGCUUCGUUUUGGGAUGCAUAUUAUUGUAUUCAUCAAUCAACCUUUUAUUAUAGAACCUGCUACUAUAUGAUCAUUGAGAUGUAAUUUCAAAAACCUGAAAAAUAUACAAAUGAUGUUUUUUUUUUAAUCAAAAACAAAGUUAGAGGACAAACGAGCUAUAAACUACGCUGUAAGCCUCUAUUAUUAUUAUUAUUAUUAUUAUUAUUAUUAUUAUUAUUAGUAAGCGAGGUUAACUUAACAGGGGCCCUCCCCCUAAAUUGUUGGAAAUACUAAUUAUGGCUGCUCAAAAGCUAUAGAGACGACCUUCAAUGCUUAGAGCAAAUAAAAAAACAUACAUACGACAAAAAUGCAAUGUUAUGUAAACUGUCAAUACAAACUACAAACACGUUGCUCCGAGUUUGUGACUUGAUAUAGAAUAUUUUAAGUAUAAUGAUAUAUCCAAGAUUUAAUUAAUUUUUAAUGCUUUCUUUCUUAUUCUUCUAAAACAUCCUUAACAGUAGUAAAAUUCACAGUACAAUUAUUACCAAGAGUGCAGACUACGGGAUUGCAACUUCAAGUUCAACCAACUCUAAAUCAUAUAUCAACUAAUCAAAAAAAAAUAAUAAUAGUUAAAUUUUAAUCGAACAAACAAAAUAUUUUAAUCUAAAUUAAAAUUUACUAUGCAGUAUAAAAUUAAUUGACAAUCGUGGCAGCGCCACGGGUUUUACUAGUAUAUAUAUAAAACAAAUCCUUUUAGAAAUCUGCAAGUCGUCCGAGGUCGAGGAGAGAGAAACAAUCGAGAGACAAAGCGAUCCUCCCUACUUACAAUCGGUAAGUAUUCUCUACUUAUUAUUAUUAUUAUUACUAAUCUCUAAUACGAAUACAUAAUCAGUUUGGAUUCGGAUUUAGAAAUUCAAUAGUUUGGAUUCUAUAAAUUCGGUUGCCAAUCGUCUUCAUCAUCAUCAUCAUCAUCAUCAUCGUUGUGGUCUUGCUAAGAAGUAGUAGGUAAAGAUGUCUACUUUAUCAUCAAUUGAACAACAAAGUUGCUUGGAUUGGUCACAACUUCCUGUAGAUGUUCUUAAGAUUUUAGCAAAAAAGAUUAAUUCAAUUGAAGAUCUUUAUAGUUUUGGUGGAGUUUGUAGUUCAUGGAGAUGUGUUACUCUUUCAAUUCGAAAUGAUCAAAACAAAACCCUUCCUUGGUUAAUGCUUACUGCUGAUUGUAAUCAUGGUUAUCGAGAUUUCUAUAGUGUUGCUGAAAAAAAAACUUACCGUUUAAAUUUGCCCCAAGUAUUUCAUAGCCAUCAUUGUUAUGGUUCUCCUUUUGGUUGGUUGUUUAAUUUACGUCAUAUAACAGGAGAAUGUUACCUUUUCAAUCCUUUCUCUUCUUCUUCUUCUUCUCCUACUAGAUGUCUUCCUCUUCCACCACUUCGGACAUGUCCUGGUCGGUUUGAUGACAUUGCCAAUUUUCGUCUCAGGCAGUACAUCUUUAAAGCAGCUGUGUUCCAAUUUCCUCACCAGGACUUGAAACAAUAUGACAACCAUAACCAGUUUCUAGUUUUUAUAAUCCAUGGGGUACAUAAGAAUCUGGCAUAUUGUAGAUCAGGCGACGCUUUUUGGACUGGAGUUGCAUUUCCAGAUACGUCAUCAUCGUCUCAAGAUCAACUAGAUAUCUUACAACUCAAUGAUCAAUUUUACUCAGUUGAUUCUCAUGGAAGUAUUUGGUUGCUUUGUGAUGUUGCUUCUGGUGCUCCUAACCCCACAACAGCAAUUCCAUUUGCAUCCCCUCCUCCCAUGUCUGAGCAACUAAAAAAUAGAUGUGAAAGUAUGUUUUCUCUUAUUGAAAUGGGGGGAGAGUUGCAUGUGGCUGUCAGGUUUCAGCGUCGUAAGACCAGGAAGACAUGUCUUAUUGAAAUCUUCAAGUGCGAUCUGUCCACCCAUGAGUGGCAAAAGUUGAAAACAUUAGGCGACUAUGCUCUCUUCUUAGGAACUGGUACCUCCAUCUCUGUAAAGGCGUCUGAGUUCUCUGCAUGCAAUUGUGAGCCAGGUUACAUCUACUUUUGCUAUGCCGACUAUAAUUAUCCUUCAGUACAUGCCCCUCCCGAUAUCGGAAUCAUCAAUGUAGAUAGACAUGAAAUCGAGUAUUUGAAUGUAGGUGAUAAACGUACUCGUCGCUUCUCACUGCCUGCAUGGGUGACUCCAAAGCUACUGUAAAGCCACCUAUGUAUGAAAUUUUCAAACUUUCUGUUAUCAAUGAAUGCUAAUUUAUGGAGACACUCGUCUUUAAUCUAUUUGAUUGAUUAUGAAUGCUCAAGGAUUACAAUUUCAUCCUAAUGGUGUAUUGUAGCUGAUAAUAAUUGUUUACUACUAGUUAAUGGACCUAAACUUACCUAAAUGUUACUUUUGGCAAACUGUAAUGUUGUUCACCUGGUGCUCACAGUAUAGGAGUAGCUCACUGCCAGUUCUUUCGCAGCCGCCUAUACAAUUUCUCAGGGACUGGCUUACCUGACCCAUCUCUUGAACCUGAAUCUCUCCACCUGAUGAGGUCAAGACGUCAAUCAUCUGAUGACAGCAAGAGUCACACAGAGGAACCAGGGGUGAGUAUGGGCUAUGAUGGAGCAACAGGACCAGUAUUUGGUACAAAUUACAACAAUACGUUGGUGCUAGGAAAGGGUAUUCUUCAUGCUGAUCAGCAGUUGAUGGCUGGGGAAGGAACUGCAAGCUGGGUCGAAGCCUACGCGUCAGAUGAAUCCCUGUUCCGCAGGGAUUUUGCCCAAGUGAUGAUGAAGCUUUCAAGCCUUCGAGUCCUGACAAAACCACUUGGACAGAUCAGGCUUAAUUGUUCGCGAGUUGCUUAAGAAGUUUUACACUUCAAUGUGCAUGGCAUCUACUAUUAGAACUACUAUUUUGUUGUUUGAGAAAGUGUGAAAUGUUUUGAGAUGGGUUGUUGUUUUUGUUCAGCUUAGCAUUACUAGAUAGUGUACACACUUUACAUAAAAUUGGGAAUAUAUGUUGUAGAAACUGGCUGGUCCUUUCACCGAAAGAACUUCUUUUCCCUUUUCAAGAGAUUCUGUGUAUUUCUGCAAGCUACAGAACAACAGCAUUGUUUACAGUAAAGAAAUGGUGUUGAUUUAAUUCAUUGAAGAAGAAAAUUAUGGCUGAAGAAAAGUUGUUAUAAUGGCAAAACAUUAGUUAACCCUGCAUUACAAGGGAACUUUUGAGUGAGACCAUAUUUCAACUUCACAAAGUGCGAUCGAAAAAAUUAGUUAACCCUGCAUUGUGGUCGCGGCUCUUCCUUGAAGUCUUUUACUGGUUCACCUGUUGUUGUUUAUGGGUGUAUUGCUGAUUUCACUAUUCUCGGCUACUAUUUCAGGCUUCAGCAAGAUGCUUCCAAAGAAUAGUUCUAGAAGUUUGUUUUGGUUAUUGGAAUAUUACAGCAGAAAUCUUACCUAAACUAAUAAUACUAAUACAUAAUCAGUUUGGAUUCGGAUUUAGAAAUUCAAUAGUUUGGAUUCUAUAAAUUCGGUUGCAACUCUUAUAAAAGUUUGGAUUCUAUAAUUCAAGAGUUUCCAUCUUUUUUCUUAAGUUUUGAAAUAAUCCGCAGAAUUUUCUUUGUCCUUCUCUAUUUGGUUCUUUUGCAACUCUUAUAAGAGUUGGCUGCAAGUUUGCUAAUUCUGCAGAAAAUUUUCAGCUCUUACGCUUAAUUAAGUUGUACUGCAGUUUAUGUUAGCAGUCAAACUAGGCUCUUGCAUUUGGGGCUAUGUCAGAUUCUGCUGCACAAUUUCCUUUGCAGAGAAGACAUUCAUCCAGUCCUGUAUUAUAUUUUGUUGCUAAUAUUUAUUUUUCACUCUUUGAGGCUCAGUUUGGAAUAAUAUUGAGAAAUGAGUAAAUUAGCACUAUCUCACUUGUGCCUGAGAAUAUAUAACUGCAAUAGUGGAAUAUGGAAUGAAUCUCAUAAUCUUAAGGGGCUCAAUUGAGGCGAAAAGAAAAAGGCCUUCUGUUAUUAGGUGAUCAAGAAAUUGCAUAUUUGAUUGGUCCAGAGUUGAAACUUAACCUAUUCACUUAAGCUACAUCUGAAUUCUGAACCCCCUAAUCGGUUACCUAUAAAUGGCCCUGAAAAAGGCUUUCUAGGCAGAAACUUCUACUUUUAAUGCAUGGUUUUAUGAAAUGAAUAAAAACCGGCAAAAGAUGCUCAGGAGGAACUUACAUUUCUAUUUUAUGGAGUUGAACUUUAUAAUAUGUCAUGCGCUAAUAGUUGAAAAUUUAGAUUGUUGAUGCCGAGUUCUGUUUACCAACCUUGGGUCUUACAAGAGAUACUACUAUGCAUGCAAGCAUGCAUGGAAGAAUAUCAUGUCAGAGAAACCAAAUAAUGCUAAGAAACUAAGAUUCACUUGAAGCCAAAUAGAAAACAGGUUGAACAUAAGAUUAAGAAAACAAACAGAAGAUGUAUUAAACUGUGGGCAAAUCACAUUAAUAUCAUAUACUACCAUCAAUAGUUGUAGAAGUACAAAUACAUAAGAGAAUUUUUCCCAAUGUGCUACGAAACACUGAACUUGUAAAAGUAAUAAACUAAUUACCCAAGACAGUUGCAACAUAACAUCAUAUGUGAUCAGAGUGAAAAAUAUACUGAGAGUAUCAAAACAGCAUCAGUUAACUAUCUAAAACAAUUACACACCUACUCUGAAAUCAAAAUGAACAGCGUUUUUGCCUCUUUAUUCACCCAAGGGCGCCUAGCUCACUAUCACAUGCUCUUCUAGUGUGGUCUUUGACAGAUGUAUGACCGACUGCAGAAAAUAACUUGUAGCAAGAACAGUACGCUUGUUCCGCUAUUUCUGUACUGCAAAUCAAACUGAAGCCAAUUUCCUAUACCACCAACAAACCAAAACACUAAUAAUUCCAUUUCCUUGGAAGGUAGCAACCAGUUUCAUAGUCAUGCAUCCAUCCAUCCUCCUCUUCUUCUUCUUCUUCUUCUUCCUCCUCUGCUUGCUGAAGCAAGUAUUUCUCUAACAUUUGAUGUACAUUAUCCUCUCCCAAUUUAAUACUAAAAUCAUCCCCAAGGUCUAUCGUAAGCAAACAACGACAUUCCCUCACAAUCAAAUACAAAUCUUCUCUAGAAAAUAUAAUACCUCGCAGGACGAUAUUACGUACUUGAGGCAGGUUUUUAGCAAUUAGACUUGCACAGCUCUCGACUUGAACUUUUCGGGUUAAUCUUUCAGUUUCAGAGCAGUAGAGUUUAAAUGUAUCCAAAUGCAAUGUGCCCACUACUUGAAGUAACUCUUCUGUCUCUUCACCUUCACACAUUAAGCAAGGACACACAUGUAUCAUCAAACACUCAUAAAGCCAUAAGAGAAAAUUAUAAAUAUUUAGAGACGGCUCAUAUCAAGCCACAAAAAUAAAUAUGUCUUUAAAAUGAAAGAGAAAUAUAACAAACUACAACUACAGCGGUGAAACUCAAAGGUUAAUCGUGCGCGAAGACAGAUAAGCAUCUGAAGUCUGAAGACAUAGUGAUCAAGCGAAAUAGUAUAGUGGUGGGUGACCUCUUGAAGUCUAACAACAGUGCAUUAGUAAUAGCAGUACUAGUGUGGGUGGGUACUCUCUAAAAUGCAGUUUUACAUCCAUCUUUCACGAGUCGAAGUCAAUUGACCUUGGUAAAGUGGGUUCGAUCCAAAUGGGAGUAGGAAAGUUUUUCCUUGAUGUUGUUGGGUAAUGUGGUUGAUGGGUUCCAUCUGCUAAGUUGUAUAUACCCAUGUCUUGAGGAUCAUAUAGCCCCCCGACCUCUCGUUCCAUGGACACGUCAUCUGUGUAAUAUAUGCAAUUGGGUUUGCAACCAGGAAAAUUAGAAACAGUGCGAGAUAUUGAAGAAUUAUCCCCUAAGAACAAAAUGGUGUCACCCAUAUCAUGUAUCUGGCUCCAGGCUAAGCCUGCAGGAUCAAGCUUGAAGACAUCAAAUUUUACAGUGGUGACAUAAUUGUCUUGGCUGCAGCUCCCAAUACAACAAUCAAGUUUUUUAAAAGCCUGCAAUAAUUCCCCUGACGAUGUUUCCACAAGAUACCUUAGACCAUGGGCGGCAAAUAAAUGGGUGGGGGGUGCAAUUUGUGUGACCUUGGGAAUAAUACGUCCUGGUGCUUCUGCUUCUGUGAUGAGGUCAAUUGCUAAAACUUCCCCAGUCUGGAGAACUGCAUAGAAUUGUUGGGUCUUUUUGAAGUAAAUGACAUCCAGAAAAUAACUCCAGUCUUCCCUUUCCCAAUAAAUAGGAGUCCAAUCUUUGUUCUCUGGGGUGUAGAAGGUCAAUUUCCAAACUUGACUCACAAUUGCCAUGACCACAAAGUUUCCGUUGAACAUGGGAUUGCAGGACAACACGGCUUUGCGAAGGUAAAAGAAAAGUCGAUCAUAGAGGUGAUCAUGAUAAACACCAUCCUGUUCCUGCUUGUGUUCCUGUUUUAAAAUCUUAUAGAGUGGAGGUAGAUUGAUAAAAUUAUGCUUGUUAGAAAGAAAAGGGUUGAAUAGUUGAACAUAGUACUUGUAAUAGUAACCGAAUUUCUUUUUUGGUUUCAUUGUUAUGAGCCACCCAAAGCUUGAACCGCGGCAGUAAUAGUUGUGAGGCAAUCUUACCUCAAAAUCACAUACCUUUUGGCUGAGAACGUUGUACAAACUGCGUGUUGUUUGUGCAAUUCGCCUUCUCUUGCGCCGCCUUGGCUCUAAUUGCUUGCCGUUGUAAGUGCUUGGACGUGAAGGGUAUUUGAUUUUGUAAUAAGAUUCGACUUCUUCUUUUUCUUCUUCUUCUUCUUCUUCUUCUUCUUGAUUGUGAUUGUGAUGAAGAGGAAUCAAUAGAAAAGGAGGAAUAGAUGAUGAUGAUUGACCAUGUUUCUUCUUCUUGUUAUUGUAUUCAUCAAAGGCAGUUCGCCACUUAACACAUACUGCUCCAAAAUGAACAUAAUCAUCAAAUAAUAUCAAUCUUUCCAUUAUGCAAUUUAGAGCACAUAUUGGAAGUUGUUCCCAAUUGGGAUCGGCAUAACGAGAAGAAAUCAUCAUCUUAUCUAAUACGAUUCGAUUAAAAGAGGAGAAGGCAGAAGGGCAACAGAUCUAAAUUGAUUUGACCUAAACUGAGUCGAAGGGGUUGUUGCUCUAUUCGCGUUUCUGCGUGUGUCUUAUUUAUAGAUAAAUCUAAGAUACCCGUUUAAAUCCGAAUCAUAUUCGUUCCUAUCAAAAUUUUAGGAUCCAGGACAUUGAUUGUGAAUGGACUUCAGGAGUCUUUUUAUUGGGUAAGCCGUAAGAUUAGGGAGAUCUUAUUGCCACCCACGUAACUCGUCAACAACCCAAUUAGAACUAUUUUUAUUGAAAAACCCAUAAUAAUAAUUUUGUUACUGAAAUACUCUUUUACAUCCAUAACUUAAUUUGUUAAAAACCCAAAAUUGAUAAAACUCUUCUUGAUUUAGAGUAAUAUCCAGGUCGCGGAUACCUGAUAUGGUAAUCCAUCACAAGGUCGGUUUCUCGCGGAUAGUGCUAUCACGCACACUAUACUUCGAAAUAGGCACUUAUUUUUAUAUAUUUUGCCUACAUAUGCUUAUGUGACAACGAUGGCAGGACCACCAAAUUUGAUUCAAAGUCAUGGGAUGGCCCAGUUCUUUUUGCCUAAUGGCACACUGAUUACUGUCACAGACGCUCUUUAUGCUCCUCGAGCUGGAAGAACUCUUUUGAGUUUUAGAGACAUCCGAGCCAACGGAUAUCAUGCGGAAACGCAUUGUGAAAAUGGGACUGAAUUCCUUUGCAGACAUAAGCGCAUCUUAGAAAAACUUAUGUGUCUCUCUAGUGGACUUUAUGUCACCACUAUUCGAGCUAUGAAUCUAACAAUGUCACGAGAGAUGACUUAUCUGAUUCAGACACAUAUUGGCUUUGGCAUGACAGGUUAGGUCAUCAUGGUCGUGAUAUGAUGAUCCGAAUACUAAAGACUUCACACGGACAUCCUUUUUUUUUGUAAUUCGUUGAGCUUUUCAAUAUAAUUUAUUUUUACAUGUUAAAAAUAAAUAAAUAAAAAAAUUUAUUUUUCGGUAUAAAAAAUAGUUAAAUAGUUAGAAAAAAUAAUAAUAAUGAAAUAAAUUCACUCUCCUCUUCGUUCUACAAUCUUUCCCUCUAAAUCUCUCAUUUUUUGUUCUCUUUUUUCACAAUUUCGGUUGCAACUCUUUUCUUCUAUUUGUUUUCUUUCACUUUUCCAAUUUGCUUAUAAACCCUAAUUUUAUUGUUUAUCUAGGUUUGAAAAUUUAGAUAUAUAUUGUCACCAAAUUUCUGAAUUCUUUGUUUUAUUCUUUUCUUCCUUAAUCGUAAAUCGUAUUAGUAUUUUUUCUUCUCAAGUAUGAAUUUUUUAUCAUCUAGAAAUUUAUGAAUGAUUAAAUUCACUAAUGUUAUAAAUCAUCUUAAGAAAGAGUUGUUAGUUAGUCCUUGAAAUUGUGUAAUGUGAUUAAUUCUUCUGAGAAAAUGAAAGUGUGUAAAUUUAACUCUAAUUGUCAACAUUUUCUAAUAAAGCUAUUUAGAGAUACCCCCCCAGAAAAGUUUGUACUCUUUGAGAUACCCCCAGAUUUAAAAAUCAUUAGAGAUACCCCCGAUUUUCAUUUCAAGCCGGUCAACCGAGCCAUUGACCUAUGUUUGACCCAUCUUUAUGUUCUUUAGACCAAAAUACCUAGUCAUCUACUUGUAUGGCAUGUCAGCAAAACCUUUAACAUAAACAAAUUUUACUCACACCCAACACCCAUACCCCAUUAAAUCAUAACCGUCCAUCUCAUGUAAUUUAAACCCAUUGAUCCUAACCACACCCAUACCCCAUUAAUCCAAGAACUUUAAUAGUGGUGGUGGAGAAAUUAGUGGACUUAGUAGUGGUGGUGGAGAAAUUGGUGGUUUUUGUAGUUGUGUUGGGUGAUUUAUGAGUACAAAAGAAGAGAAAAAAAUUGUUUGUGUGAGAAAAAAAAGGAGAGAAGAUUUAGUAGUGGUGGUGGAGGUAUUGGUGGUUGUGGGGUGAUUUAUGAGAAUAAGAGAGAGAAGAUUUUUUUGUGUGAGAAAAAAAUUAGAGAGAAUAUUUAGUAGUGGGGGUGGAGAAAUUGGUAGUUUUAGUAGUGGUGGUGGUGGAGGAAUUGGUGGUUGUGGUUGUAUGGGGUGAUUUAUUAGUAGAAGAGGAGAGAGAAAAUCUAGUAGUUUGGUGGAAGAAUUGGUGGUUUUAAUAGUGGUGGUGGAGGAAUUGGUGGUUGUGGUGGUAUGGGGUGAUUUAUGAGUAGAAGAGGAGAGAGAAGAUUUAGUAGUUUGGUGGAGGAAUUGGUGGUUUUAGAGCAUUCCCAAUGCAAGGUGGAUUUUGGGGGUGGGCUGGAUAAAUCCACCUUGAAACUCAAAAUAAUGUCCCAAGGGAAGGUGGAUUUUCAAAAGUGGGAUCCCACAGGUGGAUUUCAAGGUGGGAGAAUCCACCUUGAAAUCCACCUGUGGGUGGUAGAACCGGACGGCAUGUGUGGUAGAACCGGACGGCAUGUCACAUGCCGUCCGGUUUUUUUUAAAGUUUAAGUAGUGUUUUAAAGCUUUUGGACUCUCGGACAGCAUGUGACAUGCCGUCUGCCUAUUUUUUUGCAAAAAAAAAUGGGACGGCAUGUGUGUAACGCCCUGGGAUUUCGUCCUCGCUCAUCCCGGUGCGUCGAGCACCAUACCGCUCGCUAAUGUCAAUAUUGUCCCUCUUUAGUCACUACGGAUAUCCAGCAGUAGAGGGUUUUGGAUCAGGGCCCACCCAUGUGGUUUACCCCAAAAGGCCUUGAUAUUAGUUAGAGUAUGGUUAAGCUCUAUAUACUACCAACACAACCACUUUCUUGGCACUGUGGGACUAACACCAACUCAUGGGUGUUACAAUCUCACCACCUUAGAAAUAGAGCCGUCAUCGGCUCUGCAGUACGCUCAGUAUAGUCCCAAAAUCUCCGACGUUCCCUGCCAAGUGAGACAAGUACCUGGCGCUCCCUGGGCCUUUCCAGCGUACUUUCCACCUGCAACAGGUGACCCGUCGUCGGCUCUGAUACCAACUGUAACGCCCCUGGGCCUUUCCAGCGUACUUUCCCACCUGCAACAGGCGACCCGUCGUCGGCUCUGAUACCAACUAUAACGCCCUGGGAUUUCGUCCUCGCUUAUCCCGGUGCGUCGAGCACCAUACCGUUCGCUAAUGUCAAUAUUGUCCCUCUUUAGUCACUACGGAUAUCCAGCAGUAGAGGGUUUUGGAUCAGGGCCCACCCAUGUGGUUUACCCCAAAAGGCCUUGACAUUAGUUAGAGUAUGGUUAAGCUCUACAUACUACCAAUACAACCACUUCCUUGGCAAUGUGGGACUAACACCAACUCAUGGGUGUUACAAUCUCACCACCUUAGAAAUAGAGCCGUCCUCGGCUCUGCAGUACACUCAGUACAGUCCCAAAAUCUCCGACGUUCCCUACCAAGUGAGACAAGUAUCUGGCGCUCCUCCGGCCCUUCCAGUGUACUUCCCACCUGCAACAGGCGACCCGUCGUCGGCUCUGAUACCAACUGUAACGCCCCGGGAUUUCGUCCUCGCUCAUCCCGGUGCGUCGAGCACCAUACCGCUCGCUAAUGUCAAUAUUGUCCCUCUUUAGUCACUGCGGAUAUCCAGCAGUAGAGGGUUUUGGAUCAGGGCCCACCCAUGUGGUUUACCCCAAAAGGCCUUGACAUUAGUUAGAGUAUGGUUAAGCUCUAUAUACUACCAACACAAUCACUUCCUUGGCACUGUGGGACUAACACCAACUCAUGGGUGUUACAAUCUCACCACCUUAGAAAUAGAGCCGUCCUCGGCUCUGCAGUACACUCAGUACAGUCCCAAAAUCUCCGACGUUCCCUGCCAAGUGAGACAAGUACCUGGCGCUCUUCCGGCCCUUCCAGCGUACUUCCCACCUGCAACAGGCGACCCGUCGUCGGCUCUGAUACCAACUGUAACGCACUGGGAUUUCGUCCUCGCUCAUCCCGGUGCGUCGAGCACCAUACCGCUCGCUAAUGUCAAUAUUGUCCCUCUUUAGUCACUACGGAUAUCCAGCAGUAGAGGGUUUUGGAUCAGGGCCCACCCAUGUGGUUUACCCCAAAAAGCUUUGACAUUAGUUAGAGUAUGGUUAAGCUCUGUGUACUACCAACACAACCACGGGUUUUACUAGUAUAUAUAUAAAACAAAUCCAUUUAGAAGUCUGCAAGUCGUCCGAGGUCGAGGAGAGAGAAACAAUCGAGAGACAAAGCGAUUCCUCCCUACUUACAAUCGGUAAGUAUUCUCUACUUAUUAUUAUUAUUAUUAUUACUAAUCUCUAAUACGAAUACAUAAUCAGUUUGGAUUCGGAUUUAGAAAUUCAAUAGUUUGGAUUCUAUAAAUUCGGUUGCCAAUCGUCUUCAUCAUCAUCAUCAUCAUCAUCAUCAUCGUUGUGGUCUUUCUAAGUAGUAGUAGGUAAAGAUGUCUACUUUAUCAUCAAUUGAACAACAAAGUUGCUUGGAUUGGUCACAACUACCUGUAGAUGUUCUUAAGAUUUUAGCAAAAAAGAUUAAUUCAAUUGAAGAUCUUUGUAGUUUUGGUGGAGUUUGUACUUCAUGGAGAUGUGUUACUCUUUUAAUUCGAAAUGACCAAAACAAAACACUUCCUUGGUUAAUGCUUACUGCUGAUUUUAAUCAUGGUUAUCGAGAUUUCUAUAGUGUUGCUGAAAACAAGACUUACCGUUUAAAUUUGCCCCAAACUUUUCUCGGCUACCAAUCUUAUGGUUCUCCUUUUGGUUGGUUGUUUAAUUUAGACAGAAGAACAGAGGAAUGUCACCUUUUCAAUCCAUUCUCUUCUUCUUCUUCUUCUUCUUCUCCUACUCGACGUCUUCCCCUUCCACCACUUAGGACGUGUCCUGGUUGGUUUGGUGACGUAGCCGAUUUUCAUCUCAAGCAGUACAUCUUUAAAGCAGCUGUGUUCCAAUUUCCUCACCAGGACUUGAAACAAUAUGACAACCAUAACCAGUUUCUAGUUUUUAUAAUCCAUGGGGUACAUAAGAAUCUGGCAUAUUGUAGAUCAGGCGACGCUUUUUGGACUGGAGUUGCAUUUCCAGAUACGUCAUCAUCGUCUCAAGAUCAACUAGAUAUCUUACAACUCAAUGAUCAAUUUUACUCAGUUGAUUCUCAUGGAAGUAUUUGGUUGCUUUGUGAUGUUGCUUCUGGUGCUCCUAACCCCACAACAGCAAUUCCAUUUGCAUCCCCUCCUCCCAUGUCUGAGCGACUAAAAAAUAGAUGUGAAAGUAUGUUUUCUCUUAUUGAAAUGGGGGGAGAGUUGCAUGUGGCUGUCAGGUUUCAGCGUCGUAAGACCAGGAAGACAUGUCUUAUUGAAAUUUUCAAGUGCGAUCUGUGCACCCGUGAGUGGCAAAAGUUGAAAACAUUAGGAGACUAUGCUCUCUUCUUAGGAACUGGUACCUCCAUCUCUGUAAAGGCGUCUGAGUUCUCUGCAUGCAAUUGCGAGACAGGUUAUAUCUACUUUUGCUAUGCCGACUAUAAUUAUCCUUCAAUACGUGCCCCUCCUGAUAUCGGAAUCAUAGAUGUAGAUAGACAUGAAAUCGAGUAUUUGAAUGUAGGUGAUAAACGUACUCGUCGCUUCUCACUGCCUGCAUGGGUGACUCCAAAGCUACUGUAAAGCCACCCAUGUAUGAAAUUUUCAAACUUUCUGUUAUCAAUGAAUGCUAAUUUAUGGAGACACUCGUCUUUAUUAGUCUAUUUGAUUGAUUAUGAAUGCUCAAGGAUUACAAUUUCAUCUUAAUGGUGUAUUGUAGCUGAUAAUAUAUAAUUCAUAAUUAUUACUUUAUUGUUCUGAUGUUAUUACCACAGUGUUAUUCAAACAGUACUCUUCUAGAGUAGACGGCAUCAAUUGGAGGUGAUAAGAUUGUUGGUAAUUAACAAGUCCUUUAGAUGCUUAUUAUAACAUGUGAAGUAAAAGUAAUUAGUUGAACUCGAUUCAGGAUGUGUUUAUACUUUAUAGUUGCAAUUUCUUUUAUUGGUUUUGCAUUAUGAACUUCUGAUAUUGCAUGCGGCAUUGUUCAAAAUUUCACAUGCACCAUUGCUUAAUUUUUCAACUUCUUUAAUUUGUUGUAGAAGAAGAAGAUGUCUUUAUCAAACUGAAGACACUUCUUAUUGAAAUAUUCAGUUGUGUGAUGUGUCCACCCGCGAGUGGCAAAAGUUGACUACAUUGGGGGGCUAUGCUCUCUUCUUAGGAGCUUCUACCUUCAUCUCUGGAAAGGUGUCCGAUUACUCUGGUGGUCCUUACUAUCACCUGACCACUGGAAGGAGAGACAGUCUUGCAUCUUUUGCUGAUAUCGUGGCUUCUGAGGUCACUUCUCCUCAGGAUGAUCUUUCCAAGACCCUUACAUCCUAUGCUAGUAAAGGAUUUGAUGAAAGAGAGACUGUCAGUCUCUUAGGUAAGCUGACUGUUCUAUCUUCUAUGAGCUUAAUGAAAUCAUUAGAUUUAAUUUAGUAUCUUAUGUGUACAUUCUGUUACUUUUAGUAACAUGGGCUUCACUAUUCAGCAUUAAGCGAGAUUAUUGAUCUUGUUUUCUGUUUUCGACAAAAGAAAUCACUAUUGUUAUUAUUUUGAAAAAGGGAUUUAUUAGUCUUUUCAAUCUGUAGUUGGAUAAAAGUUGGUUUGCCUCAGGUUAAGGGUUUUUGACAUUCUGUUUAAUUUUUAGACUAUAGCUAUUUUUCCUUUUCUCUUAGUAAGUUGUUUACUCAUUGCUGUUGUCAAUGGAGCUAAAAAUGCGCAUUCAACUAAUUUGUCCUGUUCAUUAGUUAUAACUUAUAAUGUUGUUGACUCCGGAGUAAAUGGAUGUAUCUGAUAAAAUUUAAUUUUCUAAUACAUUUGGCAGUCUGGUCAUUAAAACGAAGUUAAUAAAUACUGAUCUUGUUGAUGGACCUAAAUUUACUUAAAUGUGAUUUUUGACAAACUGUAAUUGGUGUUCAUCAGGUGCUUACAGUAUAGGAGUAGCUCACUGCCACUUCUUCCGCAGCCACCUAUGACUUUUCAGUGACUGGCUUACCUGACCCUUCUCUGGAACCUGAAUUUCUUCAUCUGAUGAGGUCAAGAUGUCAUGUAUGCGAUGACAGCAAGAGUCACACAGAGGAUUCAGGGAUGAAUAUGGGCUAUGACGGAGAAACAGGACCAGAGUUUGGUACAAAAUACUACGGGUGCAAGGAAAGGAUAUUCUUCAUGCUGAUCAGCAGUUGAUGGUUGGGGAACAAACUGCAAGCUGGGUCAAAACCUAUGCGUCAGACAAAUCAUUGUUCCGCAGGGACUUUGCCCAAGUGAUGAUGAAGCUUUCAAGCCUUCGAGUCCUGACAAAACCACUAGGACAGAUAAGGCUCAAUUGUUUGAGAGUUGCUUGAGAAGUUUUUCGCUUCAAUGUGCAUGGUACUACUAGACCUACUUUUUCAUUGUUUGAGAAAGCGUGAAAUGCUUUGCGAAGGGAUUUAAGUUUGUGUUGUUUGCUUAGCAUACUUUACAUAUUGGAUGUACGUUAUAUAUGUGUUUUAGAAACCUGGCUGUAACUUCGUUUCCCUUUUCAAGAAAUUCAGGGUAUUUCUAUGCCCUAACAAUGGAUUUGUUUACAGUAAAGAAAUGGUGUUGAUGUAAUUCAUUGGAGGAGAAAAUUAUGGCUGAAGAAAAGUUGUUAUAAUGGUUAAUUUUAGUUUUUAUUUUUUUGGCAAAAAUUUAGUUAACCCUGCUUUAGAAGGGAACUUCGCAAGUGCGCAACAAGAAAGUUUGCGAUACAAAUAACAAGAAAACAUAAAACCAGGGCAGCGAGAAACACUUUUCCACUUCACAAAGUGCGAUUGAAAAGGAACUAUAUUCUUCUCAUUCAUUUGUGAAAAGUUGUGGUCACUGCUGAUAAUAGUUCCUUGAAGUCUUUUACUGGUUUUCAUCUAUCCUUGCCUCCUUGGCAACUAUUUCAGCAAGUUGCUUCCAAAGAAUACUUCUAGAAGUUUGUUUUGGUCAUUGGAAUAUUACAGCAGAAAUCCUAUGUGCAUUUUGAUAUAUUGCUUUCCAUAUUUUUCUUAUGUUUUGAAAUAAUUCGCAGAAUUCUUUUCUCCUUCUCUUUUUGAUUCUUUUGCAAGUCUUAAAAGAUUUGGCUGUAAGUUUGCUACUUCUGCAGAAAAUUUUCAGCUCUGACACUUAAGUUUUACUGCAGUUUAUGUUAGCAUCUGUGAAGUAGAGUCAAACUAGGCUUUUGUGUUUGGGGGGCUAUGUCGGACUCUGCUGCACAUUUAUCCAGUCCUGUAUUAUUUCUUGUUGCUAAUAUUUAUUUUUCACUCUUUGAGGGUCGGUUUCGAAUUAUAUUGAGAAUUGACGUAACGCUAUCUCACUUGUGCUUGAGAAUAUAUGUGACUGCAUAUAGUGGUACAUGGAAUAAAAAUCUCAUUAAUCUUAAGAGGCUCAAUUGAGGCGAAAAGAAAAAGGCAUUCUGUUACUAGGUGAUCAAGAAGUACAAAUACAUAUUUUCUAAAUGUGCUAUGAAUCACUCAACUUGUACAAGUCAUUACGUGCCUAACACAGUUGCAUAAUAACAUCGUAUCUGAUCAAUGUAUUCCAUCUAUAAGUGACAUUGUUUAACCUUGAAUAGCAUGUUACAGAAAAAUGUGAAGAGACAUUCUUCAGACAGACAGCAUCACAUAGCAAUAAAAGACGAUUAUAUUACUAGGCCAAAAUCAAAACUAAUAGUGUUUUUGCCUCUUUAUCCUUCCAAGGGCGCCUAGGUCACUGUCAUGCAGUCUUCUGGUGUUGUCUUUGACAGAUGUAUGAUUAACUGCAGAGGAUAACUGGCUGUAGGUAGCAAGAACAAUACGCUUGUUCCGCAACAUCUCUUGCAAAGUGCUUUGAUUUCCAUGGUGUAACUCAAACUGGAGCCAAUUCUUCCAGAAAUCUGUAUCAUACUGUUGAUCAGCUAAUUGAGAAGCAAAUUUAUAAAUUGCUCGAACUCUGUCAAUUUCUCCCAAGCUAUUCUCUAAUUCAGCGUAUUUCAUCCACAUAACUUUUAUAUCUUUAUCUGGAAGCCCAGAAUUUAUAGCGAGCUCGUAUAUCUCCCUUGUUUUGCAGACACCGAAGAACUUUGCUGCACAAGCAAUGUAUAUGUUGUAAAUACUCAUUUUCUCACUAUCUGGAACAUGCUUUACUGCUUGAUCAUACACAAGCAUUGCGCGCUUUGCAAGACCAAAUUCCUCUUCCAGUUCAGCAUAUUUCAAAUAAAGAGGCUUGGCAUACUCUGCAGGUGCCAUUGCAAGUGCACGAUCAAACAUAUCCCUUGCUCUUUCCAAUUUUUUGUUUCCAUAUCUUUCGACAAAUUUUGAGAUGUAUGUCAUCCAAAUAUCAGCGACGUGAGGAAACUUGAACAUUUGGGUACCCCUUUCAUAAAUCUUGUAAGAAUCCUCAAAGAACUUAUGCUCUUCAAGAAAACUUGCGUACAUGAGAACUAGUUGUGGUGUCGCAAUCUUCAAGUCUAGUAUGUGAUCAUAAACACUUCGAACAGACUCCAAAGUACCUAAACAUUCCUGCAAUUCGGCAUAAAGGGUCCAUAACCUCAGGGACUUGUGUAGCUUCAUCUGCACAGGCAUACUCCCCUUAGCAGCAACUCUCUGCUUCACCUCUAGAGAAGGUUCUGCAGUGGCCCUGCUCACCAGCUCCAAAGCCCCUUCAAAGUUUUUGUGCCUCCUUUCGAACUGAAUCCACUCGCACCAAACUUUAGCCAAAUCAUCAACUGUGUUGUACUGUAUCUGGGUGCCCUUCUCGAAAAUUUCUCUAGCAUUGCAGGUAUCUCCACGCUCCUCAUGCAGCUUUGCAAAGUUAACCCAUAAGGUAUGAGGUUUUCCUACUGCUUUUAUAGGAUCGACAGUCCUCACUGCCUCGGUGUAGGUCAACAAUUGCCUAAGUGGAUCACCCUUGAAGAGCUUCACCCUUUUGUGCCAUUCUUCAACAUCAUGAGGAUUCUGUCGCAAGAGAACAUUGUUUUGAAGCUCAGGCCUCCUGUCAAUAAGAUGUUCUAAGCGGGCCAACCUCAAAUCAACAUUAUCACCCAGUUCCUCUUCUUCAUCACUGGAGAAACAAGGAGAUGCUUCCAAUUUGGAAGCAAGAGCAGUCUCCUCAAACAUGCAGUAAGCAUCAAAAAUCACGCUAAAAUCUCUGACAGUAACAACUGUGGACAUCCCUUCCUCAAAGAUGCCCUGAGCCUUGCCAAAUAAACCUCUGCGAAUGUAGUAAUCUGCAAGGGACGUCCAAAGGCAACCAACCUGGCCUGCAACUUUCUCAAUCCCAGCUCUAAUAAUAUCAUCAACCUUCAAAGCAGAAACGUUAGUAGAAUGCCGACUUAACAACCGGCACAAAUCAACCCACAACUGAUGUUUAUCACUAUAAUCAUUCAAGUCCCGGGUUAAACUCUCAGCAGCUUCUUCCUGCCAAAGGUUAGACUUGAUAAGAAACUGCACAUAAGUAUUGAAGUAAGUAGGAUCAAACUUUAAGUAUCUGCGACGGACUGCAAGAGAAGUCAGUAGGGGCACACCAUCUUGCUCAACAAAUUGUAAAUAAAGGCUCCAAAUCCUAUCAUGUUGAGUGAUAGGAAGCGCAUUGAGAGCUCGAUCAAAGGUACGAUGAGUUUUAGUAAUAAUAAGCUCCUGAUCCAUCAAGUGAUUCAAAUACAUAAGCCAAAUGCAUGGCAUCUUAUGCAUAAUCGCCAGCACCCGUUCGAAACAAUUGUUUAAAGACUCAUAACGUGGGUGUGUUAUAGGAAGAGACUUCACAAUUUCGCGACACUCGGAGAGAUAUGUAGACCAAAUCUUAUAGCUAACUGGUGAAGCUUUGAGUGGUUCCAUCUCCAUGAACAUAUUUUCAAAGAAUUGUCCUAAGGUUUAUUGUUCUGAAAUCUGAAUUCUUUCUAACGUGACCCCUUUUAUAUAUGAAAGUCGAGAACAACCCCGAUUCAAAUUCUGACUUGAGUGACUUCUAAACAGUUUCUUAAAAGAAGAAGGGUAUAUUUGGAAGUUAGUUUAUACUCCAUAGUCAACGGUCAAGCAAAACAUCGAGAUUAGUAUAGAAUAUCUCUGUGCUGUGAAGUCCCAAGUCGCGUGAAGCACUCUAUUCUAUUUAAUUAGUGUACAUCGAAAUCCACUAGAAAGUCUCUCCACAUAAAGACAAAAUUAUAUAACAAACUUUCUGUUAAAACUUACCUCUCUCUCUCUCUCUCUCUCUCUCUCUCUUCUCUAAGCUUGUUGAAUAAAUUUUCGCCAUUAACACUCUUCUGCAACUUAAGUUUCAAGAAAGAAGAAGAAAGAGAGAGAAGAAAAUGUGGGAAAUUGCAAAGAAAUUAGGUGUUUUAGUGUUAACAGUUUCAUUAGUUGUGUCACUUGCUAAUCAAAGUGGAGAACAACAAAAGAAUGGUAGUGGUGGUAGUUUAGAUUCUUCGAGUUUUUCAUGGAUUCGUCCUUUGCUUUUCUCUAAUAAUGAUAUGAAGAUGAUCAAUUUCAAUGAAAAUACACUUGAAUAUGAUUUCUAUCGAGAUUCUUGUCCACAAGCUGAACAGAUUGUUCGAUCAACCAUUCAUCGUCUUUACAAGAAACAUUCUAGUGUUGCUCCAGCUUUGCUCCGAUUACUCUUCCAUGAUUGCUUCAUUCAGGUAGCUUUUACUCAGUUUUUAGAUAUUUUACUUAAUUGGCUUCUUUGUUGUCUUUGUUCUUGUUAUCUUUGAAUGGAGUUUUGAUUUGGGUUCUAUUUGUUUGAUUUUGGGUCUCAAUGAGGGUAGAGGGUUCUAUUAAUUCAGAUUUGUUAAUUUCAUCUUUGUCUGAAGUUAUGAUGUUGGUUCUUGUUGUUUCGAUUGCAUUUGCUUGUUAUUGAUUUAAUGGGAUUGAUUCAGGGAUGUGAUGCUUCAGUUCUUUUGGAUUCAACUUCUGAAUUUCAGUCAGAGAAAGACACUCCACCCAAUCAGACUUUGAAAGGUUUCCAUAUAAUCGAAACAAUCAAAUCGAAAUUGGAAGAAGUAUGUCCUGCAACUGUUUCUUGUGCUGAUAUUCUAGUUCUUGCAGCUAGAGAAGGAGUUUCUUUGGUAAUGUAUUGAGUUUAUUUGUUGAUUGUCUUUUUUUUUUUUGCUAUUUGUUUCGUCGAUUUUGCUCUUCUGAUUGUUGUCAUCACAGGCUGGUGGUCCUUACUAUCCUCUGCUU
rnacentral:lncRNA from 1 species